GCCAGGCAUGGUGGCACGUGCCUGUAGUCCCAGCUACUCGGGAGGCUGAGACAGGAGAAUCGGUUGAACCCGGGAGGCGGAGCUUGCAGUGAGCCGAGAUCACGCCACUGCACUCCAAGCCUGGGGACAGAGCGAGGACUCCAUUUCUUUUCUCUCUCUUUUUUUUUUUUUUUUUGGAGACGGAGUCUCGCUCUGUCGCCCAGGCUGGAGUGCAGUAGGUGAUCUCGGCUCACUGCAAGCUCCGCCUCCCGGUUCACUGAUUCUCUGCU
rnacentral:SRP_RNA from 1 species